rnacentral:rRNA from 1 species
UACGUAGGGGGCUAGCGUUGUCCGGAAUCAUUGGGCGUAAAGCGCGUGUAGGCGGUUCGGUAAGUCCGCUGUGAAAGUCGGGGGCUCAACCCUCGGAUGCCGGUGGAUACUGUCGGACUAGAGUGCGGAAGAGGCGAGUGGAAUUCCUGGUGUAGCGGUGAAAUGCGCAGAUAUCAGGAGGAACACCGGUGGCGAAGGCGGCUUCCUGGACCGAUACUGACGCUGAGGCGCGAAAGCUAGGGGAGCAAACGGG